GUGAAUGUGACACAGACCUCCUAUCAGGCAGAGGAGAACCACAACAUCACACUGGAAUGGACGUUCACAACCACAGUUGACACUUCCCCCGACUCUCUUUUUGUCUUCUGUGAUCUGAGAACUGAUCACAAAGCCUCAGUCCUGUUUGUUCUAUCUGGAGGUGUUGAGGUCCCAGAGUCUCGGGAUCAACAGUUUGUAGGACGAGUCCAGUUGGACAAAGACGUCCUCAGUGAUGGACGACUCAGACUUCAUGUGUCCAGACUCAGGACUGAGGACUCAGGCCGGUAUCGCUGUAAAGUGAGGAGGAAUAACGUUUUGAACUCCAGUGACUGUUGGCUCAACGUCUCAGCAGCGAGGGAUUGUCCCGAACCUGAGAGAUCCAACACAGACACAACUGAGAGAUCCAACACAGCAGGUGGUGGAAGGAUCGGCCUCUACUGUGUACUGGGACUGACAGCAGCAGUGGUAGUUGUGUUGGUUGUUCGUUACAUUUUAUUUAACAACAUUUCUGCUCAGGCUCUGGUGGAGGAUCUGAGGAAAUAGUUUGAUCAACAAUUAAAUCGGGGACUAUUGGGUGCCCACAGACAUCCUGGAUCAGGCUGUUGCACUGGACAGGUUGAUGGAGUGUGAUGGAGGGUUGUGUUGUUUGUUUUUUAACUUUUAUUUAUUCACCGUCUGCCUGAUGAGUCCAGGAGAGGAUUUAGAAAAGUUCCAGCUCAGCCGGAGCAGAGGAAACCGUUUGAUCCACAACUUAAUGAGACCGUUUUUAACAACAAUAAACAACAAUGGAGUUGA